rnacentral:rRNA from 1 species
GACGAACGCUGGCGGCGUGCUUAACACAUGCAAGUCGAACGGAAAGGCCCAGCUUGCUGGGUACUCGAGUGGCGAACGGGUGAGUAACACGUGGGUGAUCUGCCCUGCACUCUGGGAUAAGCCUGGGAAACUGGGUCUAAUACCGGAUAUGACCGACUGUCGCAUGGUGGUUGGUGGAAAGCUUUUGCGGUGUGGGAUGGGCCCGCGGCCUAUCAGCUUGUUGGUGGGGUAAUGGCCUACCAAGGCGACGACGGGUAGCCGACCUGAGAGGGUGAUCGGCCACACUGGGACUGAGACACGGCCCAGACUCCUACGGGAGGCAGCAGUGGGGAAUAUUGCACAAUGGGCGCAAGCCUGAUGCAGCGACGCCGCGUGAGGGAUGACGGCCUUCGGGUUGUAAACCUCUUUCGCCAGGGACGAAGCGUGAGUGACGGUACCUGGAGAAGAAGCACCGGCCAACUACGUG